rnacentral:lncRNA from 1 species
AAACGUGAGUGUCCGCGCGUGUCUGCGCUUGUCUGUACCUUUAACGGCACGGAGUGCACCUUUGUCUGGACCGCGCCCCUCUCAGAUGAUGACACGUGGAGGCAUGCAACUAACCACACACGUGUCACUACUUGAAGGGCUCUAGCGCUUCUCUCUGUGUGUCUAAGUUAUUCCCUUGCGGAGUAACUUAGCGCAUUCCUUUUAUCUGGGUAAAUCGCAUACUCUCAGGAGAACGCCAGGUGUGGCUGGUCUAGGCACACUCACCA